CCCCAAAAUCAUAUCAGUUUAUGGUCCUGCACAUAUGAGAAUAUUUCACCAAUAUAGAUGCUAUCAGUUUCUUUAAAAGUUUGGAUGGAAACUCCCCAAAUACUUAGAUGUAAAGAAUUUCUCUAUAACAUGCAUAACAGAAGAAAUCUCAAGGAAGAUUUAAAAGUAUCUUGAACUAAAUAAAAACGAAUGUACAACCUAUCAAAAUUUGUGGGAGGUAGUGAAAGCAGCGCUUAGAGGGAAAUUUAUAGCAGUGAAUGUGUAUAUUAGGAAAGAAGUAAGAUCUGAAAUUAAUCAUCUGAGCAUCCACUUUAGGGAAAUUUUUUUAAAAAAGGGCAAAUUAAAAUCAAAGUAAGUAGAAGAAAAGAAAAAAUUACUAUUUUAGUGUGCUAAGCCAAGAAAAAAGAUAUACAGGUGAAGGAGGAAGAAAUGCAAUGGACUGUGUUUGCAGAUAGUAUGUGUACAUGGAAAAUCUGAACAAAUCGACAACUGAAACUAAUCAGUUAUAGAAAGGUCAGUGUUAUGCUUAAUGUGCAAAAGUUAAUCACCUUCUUACAGCAACGAACAAGUGGAAUUUGAAGUUAACGCCAUUUACAUUAGCGCUAAAGAAAAUGAAAUGCUGCUGCUAAGUCGCUUCAAGUCUGACAUGACUGAAGCGACUUAGCAGUAGCAGCAAAGACAUAAAUAUAAAAUGCAAAACUACAAAUCUAGAAGUUAACAAAGGUAAAAAAAAAGCCUUAAAAGACCUCAAGUUUGGCAAGGACUUUUUAGAUACAAUACUAAAGGCAUGAUCCAUGAAAGAAAUAAUUGAUAAACUAGACUUAAUUAAAAUUAGAAGUAUCUGCUCUGUGAAAGAUGCUGUCAAAAGAAUGAAAAGACAAGCUGCAGACUGAGAGAAAAUACCAGCAAAAGAUGACAGUAAGCAUUCUUUCCCAAAAUAUACAAAGAACUCUUAACAUUAAACAAUAGUAGUUUAAGAAGUACAAUUUCUUUUAAAUUGGUGAAAAACCUGAACUGGUGGUUCACUAAAG
ensembl:lncRNA